UGGGGGAAUUUUGGACAAUGGGCGAAAGCCUGAUCUAGCAAUGCCGCGUGUGUGAAGAAGGCCUUCGGGUUGUAAAGCACUUUCAGCGAGGAGGAAGGUGGUGAACUUAAUACGUUCAUCAAUUGACGUUACUCGCAGAAGAAGCACCGGCUAACUCCGUGCCAGCAGCCGCGGUAAUACGGAGGGUGCAAGCGUUAAUCGGAAUUACUGGGCGUAAAGCGCACGCAGGCGGUUUGUUAAGUCAGAUGUGAAAUCCCCGGGCUCAACCUGGGAACUGCAUUUGAAACUGGCAAGCUAGAGUCUCGUAGAGGGGGGUAGAAUUCCAGGUGUAGCGGUGAAAUGCGUAGAGAUCUGGAGGAAUACCGGUGGCGAAGGCGGCCCCCUGGACGAAGACUGACGCUCAGGUGCGAAAGCGUGGGAGCAAACAGGAUUAGAUACCCUGGUAGUCCAUGCUGUAAACGAUGUCGAUUUUGGAGGUUGUGCCCUUGAGGCGUGGCUUCCGGAGCUAACGCGUUAAAUCGACCGCCUGGGGAGUACGGCCGCAAGGUUAAAACUCAAAGGAAUUGACGGGGUCAUAGCUGUUUCCU
rnacentral:rRNA from 1 species